CGCUGGCGGCAGGCCUAACACAUGCAAGUCGAGCGGUAGCACAGAGAGCUUGCUCUCGGGUGACGAGCGGCGGACGGGUGAGUAAUGUCUGGGAAACUGCCUGAUGGAGGGGGAUAACUACUGGAAACGGUAGCUAAUACCGCAUAAUGUCGCAAGACCAAAGUGGGGGACCUUCGGGCCUCAUGCCAUCAGAUGUGCCCAGAUGGGAUUAGCUAGUAGGUGGGGUAACGGCUCACCUAGGCGACGAUCCCUAGCUGGUCUGAGAGGAUGACCAGCCACACUGGAACUGAGACACGGUCCAGACUCCUACGGGAGGCAGCAGUGGGGAAUAUUGCACAAUGGGCGCAAGCCUGAUGCAGCCAUGCCGCGUGUGUGAAGAAGGCCUUCGGGUUGUAAAGCACUUUCAGCGGGGAGGAAGGCGUUAAGGUUAAUAACCUUGGCGAUUGACGUUACCCGCAGAAGAAGCACCGGCUAACUCCGUGCCAGCAGCCGCGGUAAUACGGAGGGUGCAAGCGUUAAUCGGAAUUACUGGGCGUAAAGCGCACGCAGGCGGUCUGUCAAGUCGGAUGUGAAAUCCCCGGGCUCAACCUGGGAACUGCAUUCCAAACUGGCAGGCUAGAGUCUUGUAUAGGGCGGUAGAAUUCCAGGUGUAGCGGUGAAAUGGGUAGAGAUCUGGAGGAAUACCGGUGGCGAAGACGGCCCCCUGGACAAAGACUGACGCUCAGGUGCGAAAGCGUGGGGAGCAAACAGGAUUAGAUACCCUGGUAGUCCACGCCGUAAACGAUGUCGAUUUGGAGGUUGUGCCCUUGAGGCGUGGCUUCCGGAGCUAACGCGUUAAAUCGACCGCCUGGGGAGUACGGCCGCAAGGUUAAAACUCAAAUGAAUUGACGGGGGCCCGCACAAGCGGUGGAGCAUGUGGUUUAAUUCGAUGCAACGCGAGGAACCUUACCUGGUCUUGACAUCCACAGAACUUAGCAGAGAUGCUUUGGUGCCUUCGGGAACUGUGAGACAGGUGCUGCAUGGCUGUCGUCAGCUCGUGUUGUGAAAUGUUGGGUUAAGUCCCGCAACGAGCGCAACCCUUAUCCUUUGUUGCCAGCGGUUAGGCCGGGAACUCAAAGGAGACUGCCAGUGAUAAACUGGAGGAAGGUGGGGAUGACGUCAAGUCAUCAUGGCCCUUACGACCAGGGCUACACACGUGCUACAAUGGCAUAUACAAAGAGAAGCGACCUCGCGAGAGCAAGCGGACCUCAUAAAGUAUGUCGUAGUCCGGAUUGGAGUCUGCAACUCGACUCCAUGAAGUCGGAAUCGCUAGUAAUCGUAGAUCAGAAUGCUACGGUGAAUACGUUCCCGGGCCUUGUACACACCGCCCGUCACACCAUGGGAGUGGGUUGCAAAAGAAGUAGGUAGCUUAACCUUCGGGAGGGCGCUUACCACUUUGUGAUUCAUGAAUGGG
rnacentral:rRNA from 1 species